rnacentral:rRNA from 1 species
CGGCACGGGUGAGUAACGCGUAUGCAACUUACCUAUCAGAGGGGGAUAACCCGGCGAAAGUCGGACUAAUACCGCAUGAAGCAGGGGCCCCGCAUGGGGAUAUUUGCUAAAGAUUCAUCGCUGAUAGAUAGGCAUGCGUUCCAUUAGGCAGUUGGCGGGGUAACGGCCCACCAAGCCUUCGAUGGAUAGGGGUUCUGAGAGGAAGGUCCCCCACAUUGGAACUGAGACACGGUCCAA